GAUGAACGCUGGCGGCGUGCCUAAUACAUGCAAGUCGAGCGAACAGACGAGGAGCUUGCUCCUCUGACGUUAGCGGCGGACGGGUGAGUAACACGUGGAUAACCUACCUAUAAGACUGGGAUAACUUCGGGAAACCGGAGCUAAUACCGGAUAACAUGUUGAACCGCAUGGUUCAACAGUGAAAGACGGUUUUGCUGUCACUUAUAGAUGGAUCCGCGUCGCAUUAGCUAGUUGGUAAGGUAACGGCUUACCAAGGCAACGAUGCGUAGCCGACCUGAGAGGGUGGUCGGCCACACUGGAACUGAGACACGGUCCAGACUCCUACGGGAGGCAGCAGUAGGGAAUCUUCCGCAAUGGGCGAAAGCCUGACGGAGCAACGCCGCGUGAGUGAAGGAGGUCUUCGGAUCGUAAAACUCUGUUAUUAGGGAAAAACAAAUGUGUAAGUAACUAUGCACGUCUUGACGGUACCUAAUCAGAAAGCCACGGCUAACUACGUG
rnacentral:rRNA from 1 species